rnacentral:tRNA from 1 species
GGUGAGGUGGCCGAGAGGCUGAAGGCGCUCCCCUGCUAAGGGAGUAUAUAGUAAAAAGCUGUAUCGAGGGUUCGAAUCCCUCCCUCACCGUCA